rnacentral:rRNA from 1 species
UACGUAGGGUGCGAGCGUUGUCCGGAUUUAUUGGGCGUAAAGAGCUCGUAGGCGGCUCGGUAAGUCGAGGGUGAAAUUUCGAGGCUUAACCUCGGAACGCCACCCGAUACUGCUGUGGCUAGAGUCCGGUAGGGGAGCGUGGAAUUCCUGGUGUAGCGGUGAAAUGCGCAGAUAUCAGGAGGAACACCAGCGGCGAAGGCGGCGCUCUGGGCCGGUACUGACGCUGAGGAGCGAAAGCGUGGGGAUCAAACAGG